CCUCUGGAAGAGCAGUCAGUGUUCUUAACUGCUGAGUCAUCUCUCCAGCCCUCUGUGUUAUUCUUCCCUCUCUGCCCUUCCAGAUGGAGGAUUCAGCAAGAGCAGAGUCAGGAAGACAAAAUGGUGCCAACCCAGCUGAAAAGCAAGGGCUGUAUCAGAUAGGGGAGAUAAGCAACCCAUUGUGCUGAUGUCUUCAGGAGACCACAGACAGUGGUUCAGUGGAAGAACAUUUGCCAAGUCUGCAGGAUGCCUUGGAGUUCCAGUAUCUCGUGAGUGAGUAGAUGGUGAAGCUUGGCAGAGAGUCACCAGCUCUAGAUAGAGGCUGGCUUGAGUGUGAAUUCUAGGUCAGUUAUGAGCAGUGGCCCUUGGCCGAACAUUUUAUCUGAGUUUCCUUCUCUUUAAAGAUACUAUUACCCACGUAGUAUAGAGUUAUAAGGACUAAUCAAGGUGACUCAUAGACUAUAGUUAGAUAGUAACUUGAACAGUAAGCACAAACUAUACACUCUAGCUUUGUUCAGCUAGGCAUGCAGUGUAUGCCUGGGAUCCAGCUCUUCUAGUGGCUGAGGCAGGAGGAUCACAAGUUCUGCACCAAUCUAAGCUAU